rnacentral:rRNA from 1 species
UACAGAGGAUGCAAGCGUUAUCCGGAAUGAUUGGGCGUAAAGCGUCUGUAGGUGGCUUUUUAAGUCCGCCGUCAAAUCCCAGGGCUCAACUCUGGACAGGCGGUGGAAACUACCAAGCUGGAGUACGGUAGGGGCAGAGGGAAUUUCCGGUGGAGCGGUGAAAUGCGUAGAGAUCGGAAGGAACGCCCGUGGCGAACGCGAGCUCCUGGACGUUUUCUGACGCUGAGACGCGAAAGCCAGGGGAGCGAACGGG